UACGGAGGGUGCGAGCGUUGUUCGGAAUCACUGGGCGUAAAGGGCGUGUAGGCGGUCCGUUAAGUCUGAUGUGAAAGCCCGGGGCUCACCCCCGGAAGGGCAUUGGAAACUGGCGGACUCGAGUCCCGGAGAGGAGAGUGGAAUUCCUGGUGUAGCGGUGAAAUGCGUAGAUAUCAGGAGGAACACCGGUGGCGAAGGCGGUUCUCUGGGCCUGUACUGACGCUGAGGAGCGAAAGCGUGGGGAGCGAACAGG
rnacentral:rRNA from 1 species